GGGGAAUUUUCCGCAAUGGGCGAAAGCCUGACGGAGCAAUGCCGCGUGGAGGAGGAAGGCCUGAGGGUUGUAAACUCCUUUUCUCAGAAAAGAAGAUCUGACGGUAUCUGAGGAAUAAGCAUCGGCUAACUCCGUGCCAGCAGCCGCGGUAAGACGGAGGAUGCAAGCGUUAUCCGGAAUGAUUGGGCGUAAAGCGUCUGUAGGUGGUUUAUUAAGUCUGCUGUUAAAGCACAGGGCUCAACCCUGUAUCGGCGGUAGAAACUGGUAGGCUUGAGUAUGGUAGGGGUAGAGGGAAUUCCCGAUGUAGUGGUGAAAUGCGUUGAUAUCGGGAAGAACACCAAAGGCGAAAGCACUCUGCUGGGCCAAUACUGACACUGAGAGACGAAAGCUAGGGGAGCAAAUGGGAUUAGAUACCCCAGUAGUC
rnacentral:rRNA from 1 species